AAGCCAAAUGAUGAUCAUGGAUUUAUCUUCUCACGACGGUCGUCUGAGUGACGCUCGUUAGGGUGUCGAAUUGAUGUAAUAAUCCACUUUUUUCUGAUGGUU
rnacentral:snoRNA from 1 species